CAGUAACACAUAUCGUACAAACACGUAACAAUAUAUGUACAUGCGAAUAUAUCACGUGAUAACAUCUUUAUAUAAUGUUAACAAUGAACAACAGUAUAAAGCGUUUACUUUUUAUUAGUAAACGUUCUUAUACAAAUACCGGUAGAGGAGUGCUGAAAGAAUAUGUGUAUACUAAAUAUAGAAUUAGUUUGCCUAUGUUAAAUAAUGUAAAAUAUGAUGACCUUUAUUUGUCAAGUCCCAGUAGAAGUGAGUUAUAUGUGUUUAAUAAAAAGAUUCCCAUAUUUUUAAGAUAUUUAAAAUUAAUAACAUCAUUAGAAAAUAGGAAUAAUGACUUUAUUGAAUUUGUGAAAAGAUGUGAAAAUGGAUUGAACGUAGAAAAAGAUGUUUAUUUAACAAAAGCAGAGCUAUUAGAACUAAUGUUUAUAAAUGGUUAUUUUAAAAAAGAAAUGAAUGCACUUGACUUAGCUUUUAAUAACAAUUAUGAGUUUCAUUAUCCAGAGAUAUCAGUUUUAUUUGAAUUAAAUGAAGAGGAUGUAUAUAAAUUUUGUUUAAAAAAAAGAAGUGAGAAUCCAGAAAAACUAUUUCAUUUAAAAAUUUUUAAAGAAAAAAAUAUGUUAUCAUCUUAUGGAUUAAUCUUUGUUUUUUUAUAUUUCGGUUUAAAUAAUGUAGUUUUAAGUAAUGCUUGGUUUUUGUCCAAAACGAUUCCAUUUUUUUCUGUUUUUUAUAUGCUCGCUUCUUAUUUUUAUAAAGACAUCUGGGAUUAUAUAAACAAAGAAAAAAAAUUGAUGAUUGAACAAAAUAUAGAAAAUAAAGAAAACGCAGAAGAUAUUAUUUAUAACCAAUUAAAGUUAUUUUCAAAAGAUACUAAAUGUAGUUCUAAUUUAAAAUAUUUCAAAGACUAUUGUGACGCAUUAAUAGAAAAUUAUAGGUCUGCGUAUAUACAUGAUCAAAAAAAAAAAAUAAUAGAAAAUUUAGAAAAAAAGUUACAGGAAAUAUAUAAUGUUGAAACGAGUUAUAAAAAGUCAUUACAAAAUAUAGUAAUAGAAGAAAUUAUUAAAAGAACAUAUGAAAAUAUAAAAAAUGAUACCAAUUUUUAUAAUUCCAUAUUAAAUGAUAGUAUUAAUAAUAUAAAACAUGUAAGCCAAAAUGAUACGCUAAUUAACCAUAUAAAAACAGAAUUAGGCCAUAUAAAAAAUUUAGAUAAACAAAACCCAAUCGUAAAAAAUAUACUCAAUCAGUACGAAUUGAAACAAAAAGAAUAUUUAAAUCAAUAUAUAGUUAAUAAAGAAGAAACAAAGAAAAUUAAAAAUAUGAUAACAAAAUGUAACUUAGAUUUAAAAAAAUUAAAUGAGAACGAUUAUAAUGAACUCAUAAGGUUAUACUAUACCAUCAAUAAUAGGUUUGGUUUUUAUGUGGAUGAUGUACAAACACCAACAGUGCUUACAAAAGAUGACGAUUCAAAAGGUGUAGCUGACAUAAUAAACAAAUUGAUAUCAGAUGCCAAUAAAUUACUCCAAGAAAAAAAAUUAGUAGCAUUCUUGAAGGCUUUCCAAUAAGCGCGCUCGUGCAUACGUGCUUAAUUUGAAUCUUAUCGGUAAAGUACAGUACAGUUGAGUAAGGUUAGGUACAGUUUUUUUUUUUUUUUUUU
rnacentral:lncRNA from 1 species